CCCAGACAGCCAGGAUGUUGGCUUAGAAGCAGCCAUCAUUUAAAGAAAGCGUAAUAGCUCACUGGUCGAGUCGGCCUGCGCGGAAGAUGUAACGGGGCUAAACCAUGCACCGAAGCUGCGGCAGCGAACGUAUCACUUAAAGCGAUUCAGCGGAUGACGAUUGACGGAGCGAAGCGACGUCAAAGCGUAUACAAAGUCGAGUCGGUUUAAGGAUACGUUCGUUGGGUAGGGGAGCGUUCUGUAAGCCUGUGAAGGUGGCCUGUGAGGGUUGCUGGAGGUAUCAGAAGUGCGAAUGCUGACAUAAGUAACGAUAAAGCGGGUGAAAAGCCCGCUCGCCGGAAGACCAA
rnacentral:rRNA from 1 species